GAAGCAAGGCUGGAGACCAUUCCUAGAGUGAUUAGAGACCAUUCCUAGGGUGAUUAGAGACCAUUCCUCGGGUGAUUAGAGACCAUUUCUAGGGUGAUGUGUUCACCUGAAGAACCAGCUUGGCUGCCAGUGGUAUCCUGUUUGUGCAGUUAACCAAACACCUUAAUGAGGGGCUAAAGCAUUUCCAACAAUGACCUCAGGAAUUACAGGUGUUUUAACACAUGCUGAUUUCAAAGAUGACCCUGGGACCAAGGGCCAUGGGGCCAUCCCAUGUCCUUGCAGGGAGGCAUUCAAGGACACAGGAGCCUGCAGCAGUUCCUGGCUGGUGAGCUGCUUUGCAGGCAGUGCUGCACAUGGGCUGCCUGUGCAAGGAUGCCAACUGCUUGUGCUGCAUCAGCCAUGAAGCAAUGAUUCAUCUGUCUACAGGGAGCAGAAGAAACAAAGAAUGGACAUGUCAAGCUGGAAGAUAGGAAGAAACAAUGCUAAAAAGCCCAGCCUGGACAAGCAGAAGGAAACAUCGUCUGUACAACUGAUGGCUAGUGUUGGUGAGGCCUGAGGUGGCUUGAGAAGCUAAGGAGCAAACCAGGGAUAAAUCUCUGCCUUUCCCAGCGUAUAUUUAGUGUGCAAAUAUUUUGCAAAUGUUUCUGCUGAAAGGGACUUUUCUCCCAGUAGGUAAAAACAGCAUCUGCUGAGUGGUGACCAUUUAACAUUCAACCUGCUGCCAACCUACAUUCCACAGAGAGACCCGCAGGAGAGACGUGGAGCUGUGCCACUUGUAAUAACUGUGACUGGCACCAUGUCAAUGCUCUAAUGUAGAAUGCUACCCUCUGUCACUAAGCAGAUCUCUCCUUUCUUUUGGCUAAUGGCUCUCACACCCACUGGCAGCACUCUCAAGACUGAAGGGGUACAAGGCUGCAGAGUCUUCAGAGAUCUGCUUGACAAAACUGACCAUGGAAAUACUGAGACAGGGAUGGGGGGUGGUUAGGGAAGAAGAACACUACUGUGGUUAAUAAAUCUGCUCUCAUUGCUUUGCUUUUCAUCUCUGUUUAGUGUCCCCCAUGUGUUUGCCACUGUAGCUCCCUCCCACAGUGAUCAAUUCAGCAUUGCCUGUGACAUCCUUUGGUUGUUGUGAGUGUACCCAUGCCAAAGCUUCUGCUGCAGUAUCAGGUCCAGGACAGGGCCCCUCCCAGCUUUCUGAGUCAGGCUUUUAGUAUAUUUAGGGAGAAAUUGAUCCUAGGGACAUUAACUGCAAGGCCAUGAGGCUGUCAUGUUCCUAUUUAAUCUCAGCCAGGUUUAGAGAAUGCUCAUAACAGCAGAGGACUUUGGCAGCUGGCAGCCUACCCACAAGUGUGUUUGCAUCUCCCAUCCCACUGGGGAGGGGGAAAAUGU